rnacentral:rRNA from 1 species
AUUGAACGCUGGCGGCAUGCCUUACACAUGCAAGUCGAACGGCAGCGGGGGAGAAGCUUGCUUUUCCUGCCGGCGAGUGGCGAACGGGUGAGUAAUACAUCGGAACGUGCCCUGUAGUGGGGGAUAACUAGUCGAAAGAUUAGCUAAUACCGCAUACGACCUGAGGGUGAAAGUGGGGGACCGCAAGGCCUCAUGCUAUAGGAGCGGCCGAUGUCUGAUUAGCUAGUUGGUGGGGUAAAGGCCUACAAAGGCGACGAUCAGUAGCUGGUCUGAGAGGACGAUCAGCCACACUGGGACUGAGACACGGCCCAGACUCCUACGGGAGGCAGCAGUGGGGAAUUUUGGACAAUGGGCGAAAGCCUGAUCCAGCAAUGCCGCGUGUGUGAAGAAGGCCUUCGGGUUGUAAAGCACUUUUGUCCGGAAAGAAAUGGCUCUGGUUAAUACCUGGGGUUGAUGACGGUACCGGAAGAAUAAGGACCGGCUAACUACGUGCCAGCCGCCGCAGUAA